rnacentral:pre_miRNA from 14 species
UUAUCAGGAGAGGCUCAACUUCCACAAUCUCUUAAAUUAAUGCUGAAAGACCCCCGGAGUGGGGAGACCCUCACUCAAGUCUCAGGAUGACGUGACCCCCCAAGAACUCACACAAGACU